rnacentral:rRNA from 1 species
CAGUCGCCACGGGAAUACGGAGGGAGCUAGCGUUGUUCGGAAUUACUGGGCGUAAAGCGCACGUAGGCGGCUAUUCAAGUCAGGGGUGAAAGCCCGGGGCUCAACCCCGGAACUGCCUUUGAAACUAGAUAGCUUGAAUCUUGGAGAGGCGAGUGGAAUUCCGAGUGUAGAGGUGAAAUUCGUAGAUAUUCGGAAGAACACCAGUGGCGAAGGCGACUCGCUGGACAAGUAUUGACGCUGAGGUGCGAAGCGUGGGGAGCAAACAGGAUUAGAUACUCCUGUAGUCCCUGUCUCUUAUACA